rnacentral:rRNA from 1 species
UACAGAGGGUGCAAGCGUUGUUCGGAAUUAUUGGGCGUAAAGCGCGUGUAGGCGGCUUUGCAAGUCGGGUGUGAAAGCCCUCAGCUUAACUGAGGAAGUGCGCCCCGAAACUGCAGAGCUUGAGUACCGGAGAGGGUGGCGGAAUUCCCCAAGUAGAGGUGAAAUUCGUAGAUAUGGGGAGGAACACCGGUGGCGAAGGCGGCCACCUGGACGGAUACUGACGCUGAGACGCGAAAGCGUGGGUAGCAAACAGG